GUCAAAGAUUGUGGACAUGUUAUCGAGCCCAUCUGAAAAUGUUCUUUCUGUUAUUCCCAUAACAGGCCCGGGAGGUUUGGGAAAGACAACUCUGGCGAAAUCAGUCUACAAUAAUCCAAAAAUAGAUGGGCACUUUGGCCAAAAAAUUUGGGUUUGUGUGGCUAAAGAACACAUUAAGAUAAUGGACCUGUUCAAGCUCAUUUUAGUACAAUUGACAGGAGAAGAAGUUAAAGUGGAUGACAGGGAUGUUAUUGUUAAAAGAAUCGGAGAAAAGCUCAAGGGACAAAAUAUUUCCUUGUUCUUGAUGAUGUGUGGGAUCAUGAACAAGGCUUGUGGAAUGAUUAUUUCAACACUUUGAUGGGACUCAACGAAACCAAAGGAAGCUGGUGUCUUGUCACCACUCGUCUGGUACCAGUGGCAAAUGCUGUGUCUAGACCUCUGAAGAUGAACGGUGGUCCUUAUUUCUUAGGAAAGCUAUCAGGUGAUGAGUGCUGGUCCAUCAUAAAAGGAAAGGUGAUGAGUGCAGGGGAAGAAGUACCAAAAGAAUUGGAAGCAUUGAAGAAGCAAAUUUUAGGGAGAUGCGAUGGCCUACCCUUGGCGGCAAGUUUGAUUGGUGGCUUGUUGCUUACCAACAGAAGAGAGAAGUGGCACUCCAUUGUGCAGGAGAGUCUUUUGAAUGAAUAUCAAAGCCAAAUUAAUCAAAUACUUAAGGUGAGCUUUGAUCAUUUGUCAUCUCCAUCAGUUAAGAAAUGUUUUGCAUAUUGCUCGAUUUUUCCCCAGGACACUAAAUUAGGAGAAGAUGAACUAAUUCAGCACUGGGUUGCAGAAGGUUUUGUUCAACCAGAUCGCCAAAACCAAAGAUUGAUGGAGGAAAUAGUGGGUGAUUAUUUGAGGAUUUUGUUACAAAAUUCCUUAUUGGAAAAAGUAGAAGAGUCGUGGGGAACAUAUUAUAAAAUGCAUGAUCUCGUGCAUGAUUUUGCAAAAUCAGUUCUCAAUCCUAAAAGCAGCAGCCAGGAUCGCUACCUUGCAUUACACUCAUAUGAAGAAAUGGCAGAAAAUGUCAGAAGGAAUAAAGCGGCAUCAAUCCGCUCGUUAUUUCUCCAUUUAGGGGUGGCAUAUCUACUGACAUGCUUUUAAGAUUCAAGUGCUUGAAUGUUCUCAAAUUGUCUGGAGAUGAUGUCAAGUUUCUACCGAGCUCCAUUGGCAAACUACUACAUUUGCGGUUGCUCGACAUUUCAUCUUCUAGAAUCACAAGUUUGCCAGAAUCUCUUUGCAAGCUAUAUAAUCUGCAGACACUAACGAUGAGAAAUGGUGCACUUAAAGGAGGUUUUCCAAAACGGAUGAGCGAUUUGAUUAGCUUGCGGCAUCUAAACUACUGUUAUCAUCGUGCAGAAUUGAAAAUGCCGGUGCAGAUGGGACUAUUGACUUGUCUUCAAACUCUGGAGUUUUUUAAUGUAAGUCAAGAGAAGGGUUGUGGCAUCGAAGAGCUUGGGACCUUGAAAUAUCUGAAAGGAUCGUUGGAGAUAAGAAAUCUUGGACUAGUGAAGGGCAAAGAAGCAGCUAAACAAGCAAAAUUGUUUGAAAAGCCAGAUCUGUCCGACUUGGUGUUUGAAUGGAGAGUGGGGAUCGGGAAAGCGAUAACCGUGAGGAGGAUGUGUUGGAAGGUCUCCAACCUCACCCAAAGUUGCAAGGGUUGGAAAUUGAUUCUUUUAUGGGUAAUAAAUUUCCACAAUGGCUUAUCAAUUUGUCAAAAUUGGAGGCAUUGCGGAUAGGAGACUGCAAGAGAUGCAGUGAACUCCCCUCAUUAGGACAACUGCCAUCCCUCAAACGUCUCUAUUUGAUAGGAUUGGACAACAUUCGAUUUAUUGGAGAUGAAUUCUACGGUAUUACUGCUAAUGAGGAGGAGGAGGAGGAGGGCAGAUCACGAGCAUCAGGGAGCGGCAGUAGAAGGCGAAAAUUCUUUCCUGCCCUUGAAAGCCUCUGGGUCUACGGUAUGGGGAAUUUGGCAGAGUGGAAAGGUGCAGACCAAGUGAGGUCAACAGUAGGUGAAGCAGAAGCAGAUGUCUUUCCCGUGCUGAGGAAUUUUUACAUUCGAGAUUGCCCACAGCUGACCGCUCUUGCAUGCUCGGGUAAAAGUCUAUACGUGGAGAAGUGCCAUAAUCUAACAAGUAUAAAAAGGGGUUACGGCACUGCUUCUGUUGAGAAGUUACGGAUCGAAUCUUGCGACAAUCUUAGGGAGCUGCCAGAUCUGGAUCUGUUUGGAUCGAGUUUGCAGCGAUUGACCAUCUCAUUUUGCCCAAGAUUAAUUAGUCUGGGAGUAAAUGGACAGAAAUGCCCCCUACCAUGCCUUGAGGAAUUGAGUAUUCAUAAUUGCGAAGGGUUGACCACUAUAUCCGACAAAAUGUUCCAGUCUCUGCGGUCCCUGACGGUGAAGCGUUGCCCCAAUCUGGUAUCAUUUUCGCUUAAUUUGCAGGAGACGCCUUCUCUCGAGAAAUUCGUCUUAGAGAACUGUCCCAAAUUGAUCCCUCAUAGUUUCAAAGGAUUUGCUUUUGCCACCAGCUUAAGAGAAUUGAGCAUCAACAGUCCCUUCUCCUCAGUUGAUGAUUUUGAUUGGUCUGGUUUAAGAUCAGCAUCAACACUCCGUGAGCUUCAAUUAGAAGGGCUGCCUCACACGGAGUCCCUGCCACACCAGCUUCAAUACUUGACUACCCUCACUUCACUAAGUCUGGCCAACUUUGGAGGAAUAAAAGUGCUACCGGAUUGGAUUGGAAACCUUGUGUCCCUUGAAACCCUAUCGCUAUGGGAUUGCGUCAAGCUUCAGUCUUUACCACCCGAGGCUGCCAUGAGACGACUCACAAAGUUAACAAGUGUUGAAGUUGAUGAGUGUCCUCUGUUAAGACAACGAUACACUCCCCAAAGAGGCAUCUACUUGGAGGAGGAGAUUUCAAGUGAUUCGUGACCGAACAAGAAGGCAAUAAUGGUGCUCAAACAUUAGUUUCAUGUUGAUUCCCAUCCUUGCUGAAGAAGGAGAAACCAGAAGAGUCUUAGAAAGCAGACCUCAUGUUGUUGGACAAAGACACCACCCUUUGCUGUUGCAUUUCUUACAAGAUUGCCAGGGGGCGGAAGUUAUUUUCCCUCACUAGACAGGUUUGAAGAUGAAGUUAGUAAUCAAUGACGAGAAUUUUGCACAUCAGAGAGCGCUAGCUUUGAUGGAGGCUUCGCCAAUAGGUGGUUCUCCCCACAUUUCCCAAACAUAAUUUUUUGCUCAUCUCCUGCUCGGGCUGCAGAAAGAAAGUGAGCUGGAUUACUGUAUUGUAACCUUGCAGAUGAACAACGCAAGGAAAACAUCAGCUUCAUGUUGUUUCCCAUUGCUGUUGAAGAAGAAGAGCUCAGGAGAGUCUUAGGAGGCAGACCUCAUGUUAUUGGACAGAGGAGACCACCGUUUGCCGUUGCAUUUCUGACUAGAAUGCCAAGGGACAGAAGUUAUUUUCAUUAACCAAACAGGCUUUGAAGAUGAAGGCAGUUAUCAAUGACGUUAAUUUAGCUCAUUAGAUAGCAUUAGCUUUGAUGGAUGUUUCACAAAUAGUUGGUUCUCCCCAGGUUUCUCAAACAUAAGUUUUUCGGUUUCUCCUGGUCAGAUUGCAGAAAGGAAGCAGGCUUGUAGAGUGUGAUAUGGAUGAAGAAGAAAGAGGGGGGAGCAUCAUCCUAGCAUGGAAGCUGAUACUGGAGACCUGUAUCAUCCGAGGUGCGCAGCUGAUUUUGGUCAGACUGGACCGAUGGACUUCUUGGUAAAAGAGUUGGAUGUUUGUGACAGUAUAAACAAUCAAUUUGGAGCAGUGAGAGAAAUGCAGAUGCAAGAAGUCGAGAAAUGCAGAUGCAAGAAGUCUUGAAUUGCACAAAGGUCCAAGGAAGAGGAGGGAAAACGUUCUUUUCAGUAGAUGUGUGCAUAUUUUGUGAAGAAUUAACACUCUUUAAAAGAUGGCAUUUCAUAAUUUUGGCAUUUCAUACUUUAAAAGAUAGUACGUUUUCGUCAUCUUUUACAGGGAGUAAAAGUAUGUCUAGAGACCAUAUUUGUAAGAUUUCCUACCCUUUUUUAGUUAGACAUUUGAUAGAGAGAACCUAGAACUCUUGUUACUUUUCCUCUUCAAGUAAUCAUUUUUUGGUAUCUCUGCGA